CACUGGGCGUCUGAAGCUCAGAGCUCACCCCUGAGAUGGGCUCUCCUAGGCCUCCUGGGAUGAGGGAGCCACCAGGACCCAGUGCUGUGAUGCCUGCUCUUCCCUCUACCAGCACCUGCCCGCCCAGAGACCAGGGCACCCCUGAAGUCCAGCCCACCCCUGCAAAGGACACAUGGAAGGGCAAGCGGCCUCGAUCCCAGCAGGAGAACCCAGAGAGCCAGCCUCAGAAGAGGCCACGCCCCUCAGCCAAGCCCUCCGUCGUAGCUGAGGUCAAGGGCAGCGUCUCGGCCAGCGAACAGGGCACCUUGAAUCCCACGGCUCAAGACCCCUUCCAGCUCUCCGCUCCUGGCGUCUCCUUGAAGGAGGCUGCAAAUGUUGUGGUCAAGUGCCUCACCCCUUUCUACAAGGAGGGCAAGUUUGCUUCCAAGGAGUUGUUUAAAGGCUUUGCCCGCCACCUCUCACACUUGCUGACUCAGAAGACCUCUCCUGGAAGGAGCGUGAAAGAAGAGGCCCAGAACCUCAUCAGGCACUUCUUCCAUGGCCGGGCCCGGUGCGAGAGCGAAGCUGACUGGCAUGGCCUGUGUGGCCCCCAGAGAUGACCAACUGCUGGCUGGGCAGGGCCCGCGUCCUCCCCCAGAUUCUAGCAUGGGUCAUCCUGGGCCUCACCUGCUGAUGCCAGGGCCAUCGUCUUUUCUCAGUCCUUCUCCUUUCCAACCAUACUUGGCUUUGGGGAUGACCCCAGACACCCCCUGAAUCCAGGUCAGAGGUCAGCCCACCUUUCUUUCUGCUUGCAAAGCCUAUAGACCCUUCUCAGAGCGGUCCUCAUGGCUGGGUUUUCUGGGACACAUGUCGAGGACAGAAGGUGGAGGGUGGUGGAGCUGCUGCUGGAAGAAGGGGAAGGAAGAGUGGCCCCUCCCCGAGUUCUAAGUCAGGAUGAGGCCCACCUGUCCAAGGUAUCGGAACCUACCCAGGGGACCCUCAGAUCCUCCACCCACUCCCCCAUCCAUUACGAUGCCAGCUUCCAGCCUUGCCCAGGUCAGAGCUGUGGCAGAGGAGAGGCAGCCAGGCCCUGUUCCUGCUCAGCUCCUGCUCAGGAAGGCCAGGCCUGACAGAUGUUUGGGAGAGGAAUAAAGUUGUGUUGUUGUGGGGCAUGCAGGCGUGCACACAGCCCUUUUC
rnacentral:lncRNA from 1 species